AAGUUCUCAACCCAGGAAAGAUUGGUGUUGUUUGGGUUAGCCCAUACUAGACAUACCCAAACCCAUUUCCAAACUUUCACCUUCAAUCUACUUUCCCUUCCAAAGUUCCCCCCUCUCUCUCUCUCCGCCGACGCCGCUGGAGUCACCACCACCUCCGGCCUUCUCAGCCACGGUAAAUGUACCAAAAUAAUUUGAUAUCCCCUCAACAUACCCAUUUCUAGGUUUUCCACGUAUCGAUGGAGAACCCCAUUAAAAUUCUUCAGAAAAACCUCCAUUUUUGGGCUCAUUGACGAAUAAAAAAUCGGAGGCUUUGAGCUUGGGUACAUAAUUAGCAACGACAACCGAAUCCCAUGAUGUUUCCGUUUCUCUUUCAUUAUAAGGUUCGAGCCUCAAAGCUUGCCUUUCUUCCCCAUUUCCACUCUCUCUCCUAUUCUGUUGCAGGAUCUCGUAACCAUCUUCGCGAGAUAGAAACCCGUAAUAACAAGUUGGAGAUGCAAUCUGUAAACAAAAAAUCGUUGAUUGAGGAACUUGACAAGCUUCUUGAGCGAUCACGUGUUCCCUCCGAGUAUGCAACCUGUCUUGCAGGAGGUUCCUUUGAUGAAUCAAACAUGAUUAAAAACAUAGAAGCAUGUGAGUGGCUUAGUGGUGCUCUACGUGGCUUGGAAGUCCCAAAUCUGUAUACCACUUUUGGAAACAUGCGAGCAGUUAGAGAGAAAAAAGCAGAAGUUGACAAGCUCAAAAGUACAUUUGUUCGUAGAGCUUCUGAGUUUUUGAGGAACUACUUUGCCAGCUUGGUGGACUUCAUGAUAAGCGACAAGAGUUAUUUUUCGCAGCGUGGACAGUUAAAACGACCAGACCAUGCUGAUCUUCGGUACAGAUGCAGGACAUAUGCUCGCCUUCUGCAACAUUUGAAGAGCCUUGACAAGAAUUGCCUCGGUCCGUUGAGGAAAGCCUACUGUAGCUCUCUGAAUUUGCUUCUACGCAGAGAGGCUCGUGAGUUUGCAAAUGAGCUUCGAGCCAGCACUAAAGCUUCAAGAAAUCCAACUGUUUGGUUGGAUGCUUCUGCUGGUGCUGGUCAAACUGUGAGCAAUGCAGACACUUCAGCAGUUUCUGAUGCUUACGCCAAAAUGCUAACUAUAUUUGUUCCGCUCCUUGUUGAUGAGAGUUCCUUUUUUGCUCACUUCAUGUGCUUUGAAGUUCCUGCUGUCAAUCCACCGGGAAGUGUUCCCAAUGGUAACAAAUCUGCGUCAACUGUCGAUGAUGCCGAUGAUGAUGAUGAUCUUGGGAUUAUGGAUAUUGAUGAUAAUGAUGGAAAAACAGGUAAAAAUUCUGUUGAGUUGGCAGCAUUAAAUGAAUGUCUUCAAGAGUUGCUUGACGGGAUUCAGACUUCUAUGCUGUUGUGGAUUGGGCCUACAAGAUUGACCCCUUGUGAUGCAUAUCAAUGCACGGGAUUACAGAACACUAUCUUUCCGGCCAGAAAGCUGAUGCAGCUGGAUUUGCGUCUCUCUUGCUUGGUGAUCUUGAAUCUAGGAUCUCUAUGCAGUUUAGCAGAUUUGUUGAUGAAGCUUGUCACCAGAUUGAGAGAAAUGAGAGAAACGUCCAACAGAUGGGUGUCCUAUCAUACAUCCCAAGAUUCGCUACACUUGCAACCCGUAUGGAGCAGUAUAUUCAGGGACAAUCCAGGGAUUUAGUUGACCAGGCAUACACAAAAUUUAUGAAAAAGAAUCACAGUGAAAGAUGGACAUGCUGUUCUCCAAUCAACAUCCAAAUUACACGCUAACCCAAUUUCUUUGAAUCUCCUCAGUUGAUUAACAUAAGGUAUUGCAGUUUAUAUGAUCUUGCAAAUGUUGUGCCAACUCUGGCAAAGUUCUACCAUCAGGCAAGCGAAGCAUAUGAGCAAGCAUGCACACGCCAUAUAAGCAUGAUCAUAUAUUACCAAUUUGAACGACUUUUC